rnacentral:rRNA from 1 species
CACGUAGGGUGCAAGCGUUAAUCGGAAUUACUGGGCGUAAAGCGUGCGCAGGCGGUUUUGUAAGUCUGUCGUGAAAUCCCCGGGCUCAACCUGGGAAUUGCGAUGGAGACUGCAAGGCUAGAAUCUGGCAGAGGGGGGUAGAAUUCCACGUGUAGCAGUGAAAUGCGUAGAGAUGUGGAGGAACACCGAUGGCGAAGGCAGCCCCCUGGGUCAAGAUUGACGCUCAUGCACGAAAGCGUGGGGAGCAAACAGGG